AUGUCGCCGCCCUCCACCGCCCCGCCGCCGCCCUCCGCCCCGGCGGCCACCAAGCCGCGCCCGCGCCACCCCCUGGGGCUGGACUCCCUCGCCUCCACCAGCCGGCCCCUCUUCGCCGCGGCCCGCCGGUCCCCGGUCGCCACGCUCGCCUGCGCCAUCGCCCUCCUCGCGCUCAUCAUGUACGGCGAGGACGCGCGCACCAUCGCCGAGCUCUCCAUCGACGACUACCUCUACCCGGACGCCGACAUCUACAACGUCUCCGGCCUUCCCCCCAUCGAGCUGCCCCCGCCCACCUGCGACCUCGCCCACGGCCGCUGGGUCUUCGACAACGAGUCCCUCCCCCUCUACCGGGAGAAAGAGUGCAACUUCCUCACCAAGCAGCUCACCUGCCUCGCCAACGGCCGCAACGACGAUUUGUGGCAGUACUGGCAAUGGCAGCCCAACAACUGCUCCCUCCCCACGUUCGACGCCAGGAGGUUCAUGGAGAGGAUGAGGGGGAAGCGGCUCAUGUUCGUGGGGGACUCGCUCAACAGGAACCAGUUUUACUCGCUGGUGUGCAUGGUGCAGUCCAUCUUGAGCAAGGGGAGGAAGAAGGUGGUCAAACGGGGAUCAAACACCAUCUUCCACGCCAAGGAGUACCGCGCCACGCUCGAGUUCUACUGGGCGCCAUUCCUUGUCGAGUCCAACUCUGACGACCCCAAUAUCCACAGCAUCGAGCACCGGAUCAUACGGCCCGAGAGGAUCGAGGGACACGCCCAGUAUUGGAGGGGUGUGGACUACCUCAUCUUCGACACCUACAUCUGGUGGAUGAACACCGCCGACAUCAAAGUUCGGAGGCCAGAUUCAAGGUCUUGGUCGGAGCACGACGAGGUGCCGAGGAUCGAGGCAUAUGGCCGGGUGCUCAAAACGUGGUCGGACUGGCUGAAUGAGAAUGUCGAUCCGGCGCGGACAUCCGUCUUCUUCAUGACAAUUUCUCCUAUUCACAUCAGCCCAGAUAAAUGGGGAAACCCCCACGGGAUCAAAUGCGCCAAGGAGACGCUCCCGGUGCUCAACUACACGGAGCCCCUGGACCUGAACCACGACAUGCGGUUGUACGACAUGGUGGCGAGCACGGCCAGGUCCAUGAAGAAAGUGCCGGUCACGCUCAUCGACAUCACCAGGAUGUCGGACUACCGGAAGGACGCCCACACGUCCGUCUACUCCGUCCGGCGGGGCUACCUGCUCACCCCGAAGCAGAAGAACGACCCUCAGAACUUUGCCGACUGCAUCCACUGGUGCCUUCCCGGCGUGCCCGACGUCUGGAACACGGUGCUCUACACGAGGAUCUUCUCCAAAUCGCCCCCUUCUUUGCCGCCGGCUCUCACCCUCCCGCCUCCCCAGUGA
rnacentral:rRNA from 1 species